GCAGUGUAGACUCAAGGCCCUUCCACACAGCUAUAUAACCCAUUUAUAAUCUUAUAUUUUAUCUGCUUUGAACUGGAUUAUCUUGACUAUUUCCCAUACCACCAUACUUCGCCACAGCAACGCGUGGCCGGGCACAGCUAGUAAACUAUAAAAAGAAAAC
rnacentral:lncRNA from 11 species